rnacentral:sRNA from 1 species
GCUGGGCAUGGUGGUGCAUGCCUGUAAUCCCAGCAGCUUGGGAGGCUGAGACAGAAGGAUUCAGAAUUCAAAGUCAGCUUCAGCAACGGUGAUGUGCUAAGCAAUUCUGUGAGACCCUGUCUCUA